AGUAACUAAUCAAUGCAUUUAGGUGGAUGCGACGGGUCUGCCCGCGAAAUUCAAAUUUAAUUUGGUUUUUCGCAAUUUGUAAAUCAAUAGGACAAAGUAGGGUUAUGGCACUUUAACUGCACCAAUGGCAGUAUCAUCCUCACAGG